rnacentral:tRNA from 1 species
GUAGUCGUGGCCGAGUGGUUAAGGCGACAGACUUGAAAUCUGUUGGGAUAUUCCCGUGCAGGUUCAAAUCCUGCCGAUUACG